GUAGAUCUUUACUGGUGCCUUUUGGCAAGGCAACUAUGAACCUCCAUAUGGUUUUCAUUUUGAAGUUAAUGAUGAUUCUCCAAUCAUCCAAGCUGAGGGAGUGGUUGAUAAUGAGGUGCAAUUACUUCUUCAGGGAGAGCUGCAAGGUUCUCAAAAGUCCAAGGGAGGGGCCCUUCACCAAAGAGGAGUUGGAUGAAAUUCGAGACAAGUGGGCUACUUACUUCAACGAUUGUGAAUUAGCCUCAGUGUAAUAAUUAGAGCAACGAUUGUAGUUAUCCGUGACUCUUACAUUAUUUUGUUAUUUAUCGAUUUAAUUCAUUACAUUUGAAUUAAUUCGGAAAUAUUAUCGGAAAUUUGAAAUUUAUAUCAUUUUUGAGGAAUGUCAA